AUCCUUGGUAAGGGGAGACGGGCCUGGAGGGAAUACUGAGAUCCAGGUCUGUGGGGAGACCUUGAUGAGAACAGGAAAAUGGGGACCAUUCUGCUGCCACUGAGUCUUAGCGGCUCCCGUCCAGGCCCAUGGGAUGUCGAUUCUGCCCAGCAGCAGUCACCGAGGUCCCGGGAAUGAAACCAGCCUCUCUCCCUGGGAAGUUUUUCUCUUACUUCCGCUCUUCUUCAGGUUUGCCAGCUUUUGAGCACCUUCUCCGUGCCAGGCACUGAUAAGGUUGAUCCUGCGAGAAUGGAAGAUGUGUUUUUAUUCCCCUCUCAAGGAAAAUGCUCACACGGUUGAGAAACUGAAAUCCUGAAAGGCUAAGUAACUUGCCCAAGGUCACCUGCUAGCAAGUUCUUGGAACCACCUCACCAGAUUACCUGCCAGGGGCUACUCUCUCCAUAGUACCAGCGAGACUUCUAUCUACGGGGCAGCACCGAAUUGUCAACACAGUUAUCUUCUCCAUCUCUUUAAUCCAUAUGUGCAAAUAGAAAGUUCACGUAGGUUCCUGUUAAACAUGAUUCUUUGUAUCACUUUAUUUCACUUUCUUCAGAAAUACCAUUAAAAUUAUAGUAAAGUCAUUUUAUAAAGAAAGUGGGAGGUGACAUAAACUCACAAGGAAAAAGCAAAGAAAGAGAAUAUGACACAGAUCUAAUUUGGAAGUUGCAAAAUGCACGGACAGCUGGUAACUGACUUAGGCAACCAAAGGUGGCUGAAAUGUAACUUGACGUUGGGGGCAACCAAGAAGAAAUGAAGUUCACUCUGCAGAGACCUGAAAAGGCUUAGUGUUGGGGUACCAUGACCAACUGAGAACGGAGGCAUGGCUGCAGCUGGAAACAUGAGGAUUCCCUGGGGGUCUCUAGAAUCUCAAGAUAAUACCUGCCCCCCAACCCCACCCCGACCACUAGCCAGAGGCUCAAAGUCACUCUGCGGAGACAGCAAACCAUGAGUGAAUUCAGACCCCAGGCUUGUCUGAUGGAGGGGGCCUCACAAUGUAAAAAAGAAUUAGGGGAAAGUCAACUUGCUCCCCAAUGAAGACACCUCAGUGCCCUCUCGGGGCUCUGCUCCAGAAUGCAAGCAGCCAGGCUCACUGCUCUCUCGGUGCCUCCCUGCAGACUGGAUGUAUUUCCAGGGAGACUGACAAGCCUGAUAAAGCCAACAAACACUGACAGUGAUCUUGAAAUGGGUCAGCCUGGCCAGAUCACCCUCCAGAAAGCCACCUGACUGGCAAAUUCUGUCCACAGACCUUUCUGGGCAGGUUUUCAGUUCCUUGUCUUUAAAUAUGAAAGGGCAGCAAAGAGCCCCUGAACACUGAAGAAGAUCUCUAACUGGGAAGAAAAAAUACAGCACAAAAGUAACAACCUAGAGGAAAAGAGAGCAGGCAGGAGCAAGAGAUAGUCAAGAAAACCUUCUUUAAUAUUUUUAGAGUAAAAUUCAGGUGUGUAGAGGGCAGAGAUAGGGCACAUGGCUGGCUCUCAUUCAGGUAUCCCCCACUAGCUGGGGACAGAUGAGAGAGAAGCUGGACUGGAAGCAGGCAAACGAGUGAGGAGGCAGCUGGCAAGAUGGUCUGGGAAGACAGUGACACCAGUGCAAGACCCAACACCUGGAGAAGAGAGAACGGUUUCACCCCGCAUUUCUGAGUCAGUCAGUGGUGAGUGACUGGGUGGGGGGUGGGCAAAGAGGAAGGAUUCCUGGGCAGGAUUCAUACCCAGGUCUGGCUGACUCUAGCUUCUGGGUGUCUGUGUCACCAAAUCUAGAAAAACAGGGAUGAUCCACCUAGUUGGAGCAGUGUGAGAAUUGCAUGGGAUUUUGUGGAAGUUCUUCAUAAAUGACAAAACACUACACAAAUGAGAGUUUUUAUGGUUACUAAUAAACCAGU